rnacentral:rRNA from 1 species
AGUGAACGCUGGCGGUAGGCCUAACACAUGCAAGUCGAACGGCAGCACAGUAAGAGCUUGCUCUUACGGGUGGCGAGUGGCGGACGGGUGAGGAAUACAUCGGAAUCUACUUUUUCGUGGGGGAUAACGUAGGGAAACUUACGCUAAUACCGCAUAUGACCUACGGGUGAAAGCAGGGGAUCUUCUGACCUUGCGCGAUUGAAUGAGCCGAUGUCGGAUUAGCUAGUUGGCGGGGUAAAGGCCCACCAAGGCGACGAUCCGUAGCUGGUCUGAGAGGAUGAUCAGCCACACUGGAACUGAGACACGGUCCAGACUCCUACGGGAGGCAGCAGUGGGGAAUAUUGGACAAUGGGCGCAAGCCUGAUCCAGCCAUACCGCGUGGGUGAAGAAGGCCUUCGGGUUGUAAAGCCCUUUUGUUGGGAAAGAAAAGCAGCAGGUUAAUACCCCGCUGUUCUGACGGUACCCAAAGAAUAAGCACCGGCUAACUUCGUG